rnacentral:rRNA from 1 species
UCCAGACUCCUACGGGAGGCAGCAGUGGGGAAUAUUGCACAAUGGGGGGAACCCUGAUGCAGCGACGCCGCGUGGGUGAAGGAGCACCUCGGUGCGUAAAGCCCUAUCGGCAGGGAAGAAACAGACGGUACCUGACUAAGAAGCCCCGGCUAACUACGUGCCAGCAGCCGCGGUAAUACGUAGGGGGCAAGCGUUAUCCGGAUUCACUGGGUGUAAAGGGAGCGUAGACGGCGACGCAAGUCUGGAGUGAAAGCCCGGGGCCCAACCCCGGGACUGCUCUGGAAACUGCGUCGCUGGAGUACGGGAGGGGCAGGCGGAAUUCCUGGUGUAGCGGUGAAAUGCGUAGAUAUCAGGAGGAACACCGGCGGCGAAGGCGGCCUGUUGGACCGUGACUGACGUUGAGGCUCGAGAGCGUGGGGAGCAAACAGGAUUAGAUACCCCGGUACAC